UACGGGGGGGGGUAAGCGUUGUUCGGAAUUACUGGGCGUAAAGGGCUCGUAGGCGGCCAACUAAGUCAUACGUGAAAUCCCUCAGCUUAACUGGGGAACUGCGUGUGAUACUGGAUGGCUUGGAUUUGGGAGAGGGAUGCGGAAUUCCAGGUGUAGCGGUGAAAUGCGUAGAUAUCAGGAGGAACACCGGUGGCGAAGGCGGUUCUCUGGGAAUGUCCUGACGCUGAGGAGCGAAAGUGUGGGGAGCGAACAGG
rnacentral:rRNA from 1 species